GACGUAGGAUGCGAGCGUUGUCCGGCAUUAUUGGGCGUAAAGCGUACGUAGGCGGUCAUCUAAGUCUGGGGUUAAAGACCAAGGCUCAACCUUGGGAGUGCCCUGGAUACUGGGUGACUGGAGGACGGCAGAGGGAAGUGGAAUUCCCAGUGUAGCGGUGAAAUGCGUAGAUAUUGGGAGGAGCACCAGUGGCGAAAGCGACUUUCUGGGCCGUUCCUGACGCUGGGGUACGAAAGCCAGGGGAGCAGACGGG
rnacentral:rRNA from 1 species